UAAUGCCUAGGAAUCUGCCUGGUAGUGGGGGACAACGUUUCGAAAGGAACGCUAAUACCGCAUACGUCCUACGGGAGAAAGCAGGGGACCUUCGGGCCUUGCGCUAUCAGAUGAGCCUAGGUCGGAUUAGCUAGUUGGUGAGGUAAUGGCUCACCAAGGCGACGAUCCGUAACUGGUCUGAGAGGAUGAUCAGUCACACUGGAACUGAGACACGGUCCAGACUCCUACGGGAGGCAGCAGAC
rnacentral:rRNA from 1 species